GUCUAUUUGAAGAUAUAGAAAGUCUGGUCUGCCCACUGAUAUAAUUUAAGGGCCGCGGUAAUCUGACCGUGCAAAGGUAGCAUAAUAGUUAGUUUUUUAAUUGGAAUCUUGUAUGAAAGAUUGGACAAAAGAAAAUCUGUCUCUAAUUUUUUAUCUGAAUUUAACUUUUGAGUGAAAAGGCUUAAAUAUCUUAAAAAGACGAUAAGACCCUAUAAAGCUUGACAAGUCAAUAUUAUCUAAUUAAAUUAUUUAUAAAAAUUGGAUGUUUGAAUUUGUUUUGUUGGGGCGACAAUAGUAAAAUGUUUACUAACUGCUAGCGUUUAAGACAAUUAUAUAGGUGGUUAAAACCUUAAAUGAUCCUUUAUAAAGAUUAAAAGGUUAAGUUACUUUAGGGAUAACAGCGUUAUUUUUCUUGAGAGUCCUUAUCGAAAGAAAAGUUUGCGACCUCGAUGUUGAAUUAAAAUUUCCAUUUAAUUGCAGAAGUUAACAUGGUAGGUCUGUUCGACCUUUAAAAUUUUACAUGAUUUGAGUUCAGACCGGCGUGAG
rnacentral:rRNA from 1 species